UUGAGCAUCUUUUCAUGUGCUUAUUGGCCAUUUGUAUACCCUCUCUGAAGAAAUAUCUAUUUAGGUUCUUUGCCCGUUCUUUAAUCGGGUUAUUUGUUUCUUUGUUGUUGAGAGGGUAAGGCAUUUUUAUCUGUCUCAUUCACUGCUGUACUCCUGACACCUAAAGCAGAACCUGGCAUACAGCGUGCACUCAGUUUACUUACUGAAAAUUUGUUGAAUUAAUGAAUACCGUUCACUCCCGGAAAUCACUAGAUGAAAUGGGAUUCUUCCAAAGGGUUGAUGGGGAUAUGGAUGUGAUAUGAAAUGUGAAAUCUCACCUGUUCCACCUUUUUGCAAAUCCUGUGCAAGUUCUUUGUUAGAAGGCUGGGUCGAAUUGACCUCACAUCUAAGGGAGUUUUGACCAAGGGGGCUAUCCCAUAGUGAAGGGAAUUUAGGCUUUGGGGUUAGACCUCAAUUCACGUGGCAGAGCUCUGCCUCUUAAUGGCUAUGUGGUCCUGGGCACUUAACUCUCUAAGGUUCAGUUUGCAAAUACAUAAAAUGGGAAUAAUAAUGCCGAUUGAAUAGGGUGGUCACAAGGAAGAAAUGAGGUAAUAAGGCCCUGUAAAUGAUUAUAUUCCCUUUCUUGCUCUUCCUUGUUAUUCUAAAACUCUGAUUAUAACAUCCCACAAAUGACAAGGACACCAGGACUUACACUGUCCCUUGUGGCAAACACAUGGUUUCUAUUGAGCACCUCUCUCUGAGAUACUGCGCUUGGGAGGGAGGAGACUCAGAGAUGGAUAAGGCUUGGGCCCUACCCCUGGAACAAGGCUGUGGUGCCUGGUGAAUGCCAGGCCAGAGUGAGGAAGGAGCACUUACGGCUGGAGCAGUGGGGCCAAGAGAGUGCGCGGAAGUGGAGAGGGCAUGGCUUUAACAUCAGGCCCCAUGUUUGGACUUCCUCCCCACCAGUGGAUGCCACUGAGAGGGUUUGAGCAGGGAGAGCAAGGUGAAAACUGGUGAGGACUGGCUCGGCUGCGGAAGGAUGCAAGGCAAUUCUCCAAGGAAGCCAAGCCUGCUCACGGUGGGGAAGUUCUUCCUCCGGGCUACUUAAAUUUCUUCCGCUGGAACUGAAGUUUGUUUUCUCUUCUGCAGUCUUCUGAGGAAGCAGAGAAAUGCUAAUGACCCUCCUGUAUUACUGGGCAUUGAUUUGUGGGAGGGGAGCUCCGCCAUCACCUGGUCUUCCUUCCUUUCCCUGUUGGCAUCCUCCUGGAUGUACUAACAAGGGCUUAACCAGACACCAAUAAGCACCAGGGCAGCCUCAGCUUCGGCACUUCUCCAAAAUUCCUCCUCCCUCUCCUUUCCUCCUCUCUCCUCCCGCCCCUCUAUCUCACCAGUCCCUGUCCUUGGGGGCUCAGGGCAGAGGUCACCCUCCUGGGAGAGAUGAUCUCCCAGUCCUCUCCAGGUGGGCUCACCUCUGCUCCUCCUCAGGAGCCGCCAGCAGGCAGCCCGGGAGCCCCGGGAAGUCAGGUCAGAUGCAGACGCUGUAGGAGCAGGAGCCAGGGGAAGGUGGGGUGUCCACCAGGGAGGUGAUUAACGCUGCGGAGCCUCUAAUAAUAAUCGGCGAGGCUAACAAACAGCGCGGAGGAGGAGGCGAGGGCAGGCUGUGCGCUGGCUCUCUCUGUCCUCAUUAAGGUUAGCCAAGGGGGGGGGACCUUGUUAAUUGCAGACUUACCCUGAUUGCUACCAGCUCUCAGCCAAGGAGCCACAGGAGGCAAAGCCAAGGCUUAGUGAGGAGACUUGGAGCAGCUGAAGGCUGGUGGGCUAGGGUUUCCUCCAGACCCUGGGGACCCAACUUGAGAGAAAACCCUGGGAUUCAAAAACUUGGUUCAUCCGUUGGUCAGUAUUGACCCACUGCAAUGUGCUCUAUAAAACAUUCAAAGUAGUCCUGAAUUUCAUUUUUUGAAAGAUGAGAUGAGCCAACAAGGAUGACUCUCCAUCUGUCCCAUCAGAGGACCCUCCAACACACACACACACACACACACACACACACUAUCACACUCACAUUCGUACACAUACUCACACACACUUGGUUCUGAGCCCGCCCAUAUUAGACAUUCUGUAAGUAUCUAUUGCAUUGAAUUAAACUUGAAAUUGGACCUAGAGAGAAGUGGCGUGGCUGUUCUCACUCUGGCUUCCCUGGCUUAUUUGCUGCUUGACCCUGCACUGCCUGGAAAGGAGAAGCAGACAGAGUGAGGUAAGAGGAUCUACUUCAGCCAGGGGGUCAGGGAGGCCUCUGCCAGUCAGCUGGCCACCACGAGGGGCAGCAGCAAAGGCAGAAUAAGGGCCAGGCUGGGAGAGCAUGGAUCGGACACCAAACCCAGCCUUAAAGCAGGGUUAGAUCAUGACCAGAGCAAGAGCCCUGGUUAACAUCACACAGCACAUGCCCAGGCCAAGCCCCAGGGAAGGGAGCUCGAAAGGCUGAAUAGGGAGGGGAGGUGUGGGCAGUGAGAGCUGCCCAAUGUGGGUACAGGCAAAUCUUAAAAAAGGCAGUUCUCUGAGGCUCGCCUCUGACAGAGAAUGAGUGAAUCUUACCCCAGGGGAUUAUAACUGACAGACCUCAAAGGGGCUCCUGGAAAUAAGAAGCUUUAUGGAGGAUGCUUGAGAGAGAGAGGAGGUUAGAAUUUCCUCCUUGUCGGGUGGAAGUUUGUCUUAUGCAGAGCUCUCCCAGUCUAACCGUGUCUUAUAUCUGGGCAGUGUGGGGGGACGGCAGCCCUGGCUGGUUGGCCAUGGAUCACACAUGGGACUCUGAAAUGCCCAUCUUCUACAACUGCUUAGGCUUUUCCUCACUCCCCUCCUCCCGGGCCACCCCUCCCCUCUCCUCUGCAUACCUCAUUGCUGCCUGCAGUGCCUCCCUGGGCUCCCAAACAAGACAUCCCCUCUAGGACCUGAUCUGUUGCAGCAGGACUAGUGGUGGUGCCAUUAAAUAAUAAUGAUAAUAAUGAAUGAAUGAAUGAAUGACCAUUUGUGAGGUUCUUAUACAUGCCAAGGCCCUGAGCUGAGUGCUUUAUAAUGCCUUAUUUCAUGUAAUCCUUCUAACAAUCUCAUGAAAGUUCAUUCAAUCAUUUUAUAAGAACUGAUUUAUCGAUGAGGAAACCGAGGUUCAGAGAGAUCACACCCCUUGCCCAAGGUCUCUCAGAUAGCAGCUGGCUGAGCUGGGAUUCACACUCGGAAGUGCUUGCUCUGUCUACUCCAGGGAGGGCUGGGCAGUGGGGAGGGCAGGGUCCUGGGCUCCUCCUUCUCCUGCUGUCCCACAGGCUGAAGGUGCCCAGCUGGUGUCUAUUAUUCCUGCACACCUCCACCUCCAGUCCCAUCACUAGCCUGAGGUGGUUUCUUCCUGGUUUCUUCCCCUCGUUGUAACGGACUUCACCUCAGCAGACACCCAAAGACCCACCAUUAGUGCUUAUGUGCUUAUACGUGGUUUUGUCUGUUUCUUAUGAAACUGAAUAGAGACCUUGGGGGAAGUCACUUUCAUACUUUGAUCACUCUUGUUUUGAGGAAGAAAAAAAGUUAGACAACCUCUGAAAGUACUGUCUUCAAGGGUGUCAGAAUGUGGUACUGUGUUCUUUUCUAAAAUUGGCCCCCAAGGUGAGAGGCCCCAGGCAGAAGUUUCUCUGGGGAGCUCGGUCAGCAGGAAGUCCCUCUCUCGGGGCUCCGUGCUCCUUCCCCUGGGACCUGAGUCCGUUUGCUGCUUUUCUCAUCUUUUCACCUCUUGCCCUGCUGGCCCUGCCGUCAGCUCAUGAGUCACAGACGGCUCAGAGCUGUUGGAGGUGGGGAGAGGCCUCCAGCGCUAGCCACCCAAACUGGGUGUUUUCCUGCAGCACCCUUCUACUCUGUCUGGGCUGGUUUUUGCAGUUCCAUUUUGACAAAUGUGGUUACUGCUUAUUGAGCACUUGGUGCUGUUCUGAGUGCCUUACUGCUAUCUAGUCAUUUAAUCCUCACAACAAUCUAGUAGGGUGUGCAUCGUUCCCAUUUUACUGAUGAGCAAAUGGAGGGAGGGCAAGAUUAGUAACUUGUGCAGAGGCAGAGCUUCUAAGUGUUAGAGACAGAACCUGAACCUCCAAACCUCAGUCCACGGCUCAGACUCCUGCUACUUGGUCCUGGAUGCUGGGGACAUUUAUAAGUGAUUCUUUCUUUUGGCAGGCUGGCCUAGGAAACUCUCUACUGUGAAUAGCGCUGCUCUGCACGCCAACUUCCAAGCAGCUGACGUAUUAGUGAGUAUAGCUGUGGCCUGCCUGCUCUUUUGCGUCCCCUCAGAACUUGGACAAAAGACAUGCUCCACGGGUGUCAGGGAGAAAGGAGAAGAGAAAGGGAAGUAGUGUCUGUUUGUACCUCCUUUGGGCCACCGUCAUGCCAGAGUUUACCAGCAUCAGCUCGUGUAAUCCCAACCAUUUUGUGAGUCGCAGGCAGAGAAGUUGAGUGACUGCUGGCCUCCCUGGGGAGCUGACUCCAUGGAGGAGACAAGGAUGCUGUGGCCUGGGUCACUAAGUCUCUGAUAAUUGUUAUGCAACAAUAGACAGCCAAUACCGUCCUCUUGGAGAGAAGUGAGGGGGACAGGAGUACAUCGUGGAGGAAAUAGAGGUAAUAUUUCUGUAGUUAUUGUCUGUAGAAGGAAGUAGUUAUUUUAUGGACCUGAGCAGUGUAGGAAGAGGGAGAAAAUGUCCUUCCUCUCAUUACACACAGGGGUAGAUCUCUAUUGUCCCUCAAGCCAUUCUGAUUAUUUCUUUUCUGAAUUGGACUUCUCAAAGAAGAAGAAACAGAGUUUGAUUGGAUAUCAGAGACAAGCCACAUUGUUGUCUGCACCUUAUACAGAGGUUCCAUCAACUCCCAUGGGUGAGAAUCUAUUCCUUCCUGGGUUUUGAUUUUCCAACUCUUCCUUCUGUUCAAUGAGAUGUCCAACUAUCUUUCCAAUAAAUCCUUCAUCCUGGUUGUUAAAGAAAAUUUUCUUAAGCUAGCCAGAGCUAAUUGCUCUUGCUUGCAAUCAAGAGAAUUUUAAAACCUGGUAUAUUUUCCCACUUGUCUAAUUGCCCCAAAUUAACCCCCAUCAAAAUGCUUGUCCCCACUAUUUCUCUUCUGGAAUGAGAACUUCAGGCUCUUCCCUGGUCUCUUUGGUCCGUUAAUCUUCCUCCCCUAUUACUGCAUCUGUUGCUGAUGAUCUCACAGAAAGCAUUGACUGAUCCUAACUUUCUAGCUGGAGGCUGCUGCCACUGAUAACCCCAAAGCUGGCUUCAGGGGGAGGGACACCCAUUCUUCCCUUGGCUCCUCCUUCUUAAACCUGAGGUUUAGCCUUUCCCAAUUCCCAUCAGCCCAACUGAGGUCAGGCUAUGACUUUUAACAAACCUUUACUAAAGCCUUGAAUAUAACAGAAGUUCAUUGCUUCUAGCGUUGGCUAUCCUUGGAAUCUGCAGGCAUGAACUCCACUCGAGAGUCCUUUACUGGGCUAGAUCUCUGCCCAGCUGCUGUUCCACUUCCAUGUGGCAGGUGCCAUGUCUCCCCCAUCUCUCCUGAUUCCAGACCAACUGACUCUGAUUCCCCAAAUCGUAAGGUAGGUAUUUUCUCAUCUUCCUCAUUUUUUUUUUUUGUCCCAAGAUUAACCUUACCCUAGGAUGACUGAUGGUGAAAAUAUCUAUUACUUUCAGGGGAAACUUCAACUCCCUCUCAAGGUUGUAUCUGUCUGCACAAUCUCAAACACCAGUAUAAUGGUUCCGCAAGGCAUUAACCAAAGUCUAUCUUAUUCAGUAUUAGAUAAUGUCAUAUGCUGACAUAAACUGUCUAGUCUAGGUUGUGCUGUGCCCGAUAUAGCCCAAUUCUGUCCUUCACCUCAAAGUAAAAGCCUACAUUUCCCUUCUUUCAGUCUCCAAACUUGAUCUUUGGGGAGUAAAUCACUGCAUAACAAACAAGGACAUGGAUACAUCUCUCAAAAACAAAGAGUAAUUUUCAGGCAUAGUUCUCCUAAAAUUUAGAUUUAGAAAAAGAGAAAUUUUCCAAUCAAAUAUGUAGAGAAAUGGUCAGGAUAAAUUACUCUAAAUGCAUAAUACUAUACAGCUCAAUUUGAAGCAUCAAGAUUUGCAUUACCUCAUAGCUCCCAGAUCUUCCUCAAGAGUUUGAGUGUGUCCUUGCUUUCAAUUUGCGUUGGUAAAAUGCUUCUUUUGAUGAUGUUUUUCCAAAUAAAAGAGUAGUUUCCCCCCAAAAUUAAUUCCACUCUGCAGUCGAUCCCCUUUGACACGUGGUUGGCUAUUUGGUAGAGUGGAGAGAACCUGCGAUUGGAUGUUAAAAGAAUGAAUUUCAGUCUUUUUCUUCCAGAGAGUGGUCAUAUUGCUUGAGGAGUCAUUUAACCUUUCUAGAAAUUUUGUUCUAUCUAUAAAAAGAGAUGCAUUAUAUGCUAUCUUGUAGCCCUAAGGUCCUCUGCUUACCUAGGAGUCAGAAGACAGGAUGUGACUGGGACUAGAUACAAGAAAACCUAGCUGCUUCAUUCCAAGCUGUGAAGGGGUAAGAAUCAAGGCCUCUUAUGCCAGGUGUUCUGCUGAUGCUCAUGGGUAGUAGAUCUGCAUGCGGACUGACAUGCACCACUCAUUGUAAUGUUUGAUAGGAUGGGACCUGCCCUCAUGCGUGGAGGUGCUGCCAUUUCUCCUGUUCAGUCCAAUGUCUCUGAAUCAUCCCUGUUCAGGCAGGGCUUUUCUGAUUGGCAAAGAAAAGCUGCUGUGGAAGACUUGGCAUCUUUGUGCCAAUGUCAACCCUAGGUAAGCAUCCUCCACCCCAUUCCAACCCACCCAAUUCUGUAUCUGGAUUAUUUCUUUGCCAAAUACUCUGUGUUAGAUAUGGGUUCUCUCUGCUCUUAGGGUUGUCUGGUUUUCCUAUUUCCUUCCUGUGCCCAGGCCGUAUUAGCUGGGCUGUGGCCCUUUUUCUCCUUUCUCCUUUAUCUAGAACUCUCUGAACACUCUUGCCUGGCUCCUGGGGCCAUUGCAGUCUGAUCCAACCCUUCUACUUGCGGGCCCUGCUUUCCUAGCUGGCCCUUCUUUCUCUCCCUCCAUUGUUUCCCAGGCAGCAACUCCCCACCUGGGGGCAGGGUCAACUGCAUGGGGGCCAGAAACUCGGGGUCCAACAUGAGCUACUGUCACUCAGGAGCCUGCUUCCCAGUUCUCCUGUCACAGACAGGGUCCCCUGGUGCCAUGUUGGCACAGGCAGGCUUGCAAAGGCAUGCACUCCCUACCUGCGUGUCCAGCUGUAUUUGCCUGUACACAUGAUGUGGUGCCAGACAAGCAAGUUUGGAGCCACUUAGGGGAAUGACUGGAUUCUUCAGUGUGUUUGUUUUAGAGUCUAUAGGGGACUUUGAUAUCAAAUAGAGAGUUUUCACCCCAACCGCAUGCCUUGGCAUCUAUCCAGGUCAUUAAAAAAAACAGUAAAUGAAAAAAAUAAAAUGGGGGCAUUUAAGGGACGUCCUUACUAUUUCCUUCUAUUCUCCAGUUGUUAGACUUCCAUAAGGAAGGUCGGAGUUGAAUGCCUACUCUAUGUCGAGUUCCUUACUACGUUAUUCCUCACCUGACAUUCCCUCUCACUUUAUGGUAACUUCUUUCACCUGAGUUAUUUCUAGACGCUUCAGCUUCAUCUCAAACACCUCCCCUUUCCUUACUCUCCCAACAGUUGAGCAUUUUCUAAAUCUCAUUUAUUGUCUUCAUACUAUUCUUAUAGGGUUGAAGUAAUUAUUUUCAUUUUACAGAAGGAAUGGAGCUCCAAGACACAGAAAUCUUGUUGCGGUCACAGAGUUAGCAGGUGGGAGGGCAAUGUUUUAACCUGGGUUUGCCUUACUCUGCAGUCCACGGCAAUUCACUGAUCAACAAACACUCAGUGUGCCUCUGAGCCUAGGAUGGGGCUGGCUGCUAGAGCACAAGCCGUGGUCUUUAUUCAAGGACCCUAUAGUCUAGUGGGGCGGUGGGAAAUAUGUAAAAAUAAAAAUCAGCAAACAGUGGAGGGAUAGCAUGGUUCUACAGUGAGAGAUCGGCUAACUGUUGGAGGAGAGUCUGGGAGAACUUUUCGGAGGAGGUGACUUUUGAUUUGAAUCUUGAGGGCUGCGUAGAAGUUUGCCAGUUAGACUACGAGGGAAAGGGAACUCCGGCAGAGGAACGCACACGAACCAAGGCAUGCACACCAGAGGAGCAUGUGAGGAAAACUGGAGCUCCUCUGUCUGGUGAUGGCCCAUGGGUGUCAGGACAGCUGCGGGAGAUGAUGGACCAGGUGAGAUGUCUUAGCUUUUUCCUAAACCAAGAGGAAGCUUCUGAAGUUCAAACGGGAAAGAGGUACAAUCAUGAACGUGCCUUAAAAAAAAACUGGCAGGAGUGUGGAGAAGUGUGUGCAAGUGUAAGGGUGAGUGUGUGUUUGGGAGGAAACAUCAAAGCCAUGGAGACUAGGUAUGAGGCUUUUCUGGUAGAUUAGGGAAAAAGUGAUAAGGGCCUGGGCUGAAGCAACAGCAGAGGUUAUGGGGAGGGGGGUGGUGGGUAGGACCGAUAAUUGUGUUUACAACAGACCAGACGCAGGGAUGAGUGAACUGGUCGGGGGAGGUGAGGAAAAGGGGUGUUUGGGUCAACAGUGAAGUUUCUAGUUAAAUAACCUAGGUGAAUGAUGGCACCAUUAACUGAGACGAGGAAUGUGAGAGGAGACUAAUGAGGUCCAUUUUGGAUGUCCUGAUGGAGAGCAGCAUGCAGGCGCUGGGGACGGCUGCUGCUGCUUUCUGAGCCUAACAAGCGGGAGGAAGGAUAGAGUAGGGGCAGUGGUCAGAAAAGAAAGGGGGCGUCCCAGGACGCGGUCAGGGCCCGUGCUAAUGUUCCUGGCCAGCAAGUCAAGAUUUGGCUUAGAGAAGCCCCAGCACCAUCUGCGAAACUAGUCUGCGUUCCCAGUUCUCUGGUCAUGUUGAAGCCCCUCUCUGCUUGUCAUGAGUCAGGCACUGACAGUCUCAAUGGUGUUGGCGAUUUAUCAGUGAGUGGGAAAAGAUAAUUGACCAUCAUCUCACCUCACCUUGCCUCGCCUCAGCUGAUGGAGAGAAAUUUAACUGCUUCAUUCCACUGUAAUUUCACAUAAUUCUCCACCUAUUUCUCCCUAGUUUUUACUUGGAAGUUUACACGUGUGAUUAAUGAUUUGCUAUCAAAUAUAAAAAGAAAGCUAAAAUAUCAUUGGACAGUUUAACAGCCUUUAAAAUAUAAUGGUCUCUCUGGCUGGACAUCCACAGUAGCCGAAGAAGCCCGGAAGGUCAAGCUUUAAUGAACUGGUGAGAAUCAGAGAAGGAAAGUGAAAGUGAUCAAUGCUCAGAGCUGGCUCCACAGUCCACUGACCUUGGGGGAAGAAGAGACCUCAGGAUUUAUGGAGCCCCUCUAGGCCUGUUCAUGGGACUGUCAGAAGCCACUGGGGAAGGCGAUGGGUUGGACCGGGAUGGGGAGUCAGCGGUCCUGGGCCAUGAGGCUGCUUGCUCUUAGCCUGGCCCUUGUUUAUAUCCUCAUGAGCACCCAGGCUUUGGGGUCUCAGCCCCUGAGCAGGACUCCCUGUAAACUUUUGCCUCAGGGAUGACCUGAUGACUUGCCUCUGACCCUGUCCAGAGAACUCAAAUGCUCCCAUUGCUAUCAUUCUUGUUUCCUGGGACCCUCUGACUUGCUUGCUGUAUCCCUCUUGCUUCAUUCUUAGAAGCUUUGUAGCCUUCUUUGCAUGUAAACCUCUGAACUUAUCUGUGUGACAUGCCAGCAGAGGAGGGGAGGGGUUCUCAUCCUCAGUGUGCCAUGCAUUCUUCCAGGCACUAACCUAUACACUGUCUCAUUUGAUUCUUUCUCCAACCCUUGAGGUAGUUAUUAGAAUGCUCACUUAUAGAUGAGGAAACCGAGGUUGAGAAGAUGCAGUAGGUAGCUGCAAAAUGGCUCCUCAGGACCCCUGCUUCCUGGAAUUCUUGUCCUUGUGUAAUUCCCUCCCCUGGAGUGUGGGCUGGACCUAGUGACUUGUUUCUAACAAACAAAAUAUGGCAAAAGUGAUAGGAGUCACUCUGAAAUUAGGUUAUAAAAAACCAUAACUUCCAUCUUUUUCUCUUGUUGGCUCGUUCCGAUGAAAGCCUGCUACUGUGUUGUGAGCUGCCUUAUGGAGAGGUUCACAUGGCAAGGAACUGAGGGAGGCCUCCAGCCAACAGCCCAGGAGGAACUGCAUGCUGUCAACAAUCACGUGACUGAGCUUGGAAGUGUGCCCACCUUGGUCUAGGCUUGAGAGGUCUGCAGCUCCAGCUGACCCCUUGACUGCAGCCUGGGAGACCCUGAGCAGGGACCCAGCUAAGCUGCAUCUGGAUUUCUGACCCACAGAAACUGUAAGAUAAUAAAUGUGUGUUGUUUUAAGCCGCUAAGUUUUCAAACAUUUUGCCAUGCAACAGUAGAUCAAUAAAACAGAAUGGUUAAAUAAGUUGUGCAAAACAAACAUUUCAUAAACGGCAGAGUUCAGACUCAAACUUGAGAUCACUUGAUUUUUAAAGUACCAUGAUCUUUCACGACACUAUAUUGGUUUUUUUUUUUUUAAAGAUUUUAUUUAUUUCCUUUUUCUCCCCAAAGCCC